CUCCCCUGGCAAUGGGCGAAGAGACAUUUUGGUGGUGGUGGUGUUCUUCUCUCAGUCAGGGGCAGAGCGGAUGACAGCCCUCUGUUCAUCCUAGCUUGAUGCCCGGCUUGGUGGCCAAGGCUGUUUAACACCUAGGACACCUAA